rnacentral:rRNA from 1 species
GACAGAGGGGGCAAGCGUUGCCCGGAAUUACUGGGCGUAAAGGGCGCGUAGGUGGGAUGGCAAGUCGGUCGUGAAAUCCCUCGGCUCAACUGAGGAUCGUCGAUCGAUACUGCCGUUCUUGAGGAUUGCAGAGGAGACUGGAAUUCCCGGUGUAGCGGUGAAAUGUGUAGAGAUCGGGAGGAACACCGGUGGCGAAGGCGGGUCUCUGGGCAAUUCCUGACGCUGAGGCGCGAAAGCGUGGGGAGCAAACGGG